AUGACCCUGCGGGGUUCGUGAUGUGUCUUUUAUGUACCACAAAUAGUAAUAUGGGACGCCGGAACAACUCUUACCGUGAAUUGCAGGCCUCCCGCCCGGCUUAAACGUGUUGGUGCGGAUGUUGGAAGCAGCGAAGCGGCGAGGAGGCGACCCACCUGCCUUUCGGCGGGUUACUAACGGGCGCACACGGCGUUGCGGGGUCUGC
rnacentral:other from 1 species